ensembl:lncRNA
AUGACUCACCUUCUGUGGUGUGGAAAUGUCUGCCAAAUGUCUUCAAAUGUAAUGAGGUGGUGUGUCUGCCGGGUGAAGGUCACAGAUAAUGCCCCCAGUCCAGAGUCGCACGAAAGACAACCGUCUGAGGUGGGUAUCCCUCCCCUCCCAGAGGCCCUCAGCACUGAGGUCAAGCAGGAGUCUGCAGAAAUGCCUGUUGAACAAAGCAAAGUGGAGGAGGAGAAAACGGAGGUGGAGCCGAGUGGGGAGGAGAGAAGUGCAACCCCCAAUCAAAUAGAAGAGGAAAAAGUGGACGAAGAUAAAGAAAAGGUCGCUAUUAAAGCGGUCGUUGAUGAAGCGGUCGUUGAUGAAGCGGUCGUUGAAGAAGCGGCCGUUGAUGAAGCGGUCGUUGAAGAAGCGGCCGUUGAUGAAGCGGUCGCUGAUGAAGCGGCCGUUGAUGAAGCGGCCGUUGAAGAAGCGGCCGUUGAAGAAGCGGCCGUUGAUGAAGCGGUCGCUGAUGAAGCGGACAUGACCGAAGCGUUGCACUCGACUCCCAGUCGAGUCCCCUCCGACUUGAAACCAGAAGAUCUGCCGAACAGACACAUCCCUCAAGAUGCAGAGAAGAUUGAUGGAGAGGAAACCGGUAAGUUGGAGUCGACACCACAGAGCGAAGAUCCCAAACCAGAGGAGACACCGGAAUCAAGUGAUCCUCCCCCUCAAAACCAGGAAAAGGUGGAAGACGGGCAACGCUCCACUGAGGCUGCUGAUAGCUCGGCACCAGCUGAAAGCUCAGGUCCAGGUGAUAGCUCGGCACUAGCAGACGGCUCAGGUCCAGGUGACAACUUGGCACUAGCAGACGGCUCAGGUCCAGGUGACAACUCGGCACCAGCAGACGGCUCAGGUCCAGGUGACAACUCGGCACCAGCAGACGGCUCGGCUCCGGCUGACAGCACAGGUCCAGGUGACAGCUCGGCGCUAGCCAAUGGCUCGGCUCUGGCUGAGAGUUUGGCCACAGGCAACAGUGGCGAGGGGACGGAGUCCAGCGAGAGAACUCAAGAAGAGGCUGACAUUUCUAUGGAUGUGGAGCAGGAAGAGAAGGUAUCGACGAAUCAUGGGCAUAAUUAUUCAUGGGGAUGAUGUUAAAAAGGUUUAACGUCAUACCAACAACGUAGAUAGGUGGCACUGUUGCAGCUUCAGUGUUGAAUGUAUUGUAUAGAAAUAUUUUGUCUUGUUUUUCAGAAAGAAGAACAAGAAGCAGACCAGUAGUGAUCGUCUAACAAUCAAUCUUUUUUUUUUAAAUGUGUUGAUUAUUCCAUUGUAGAAUAUAUGUGUAGAUUGAUACGAAUACAAAAAGCAAUAAAGAAACUGUUAUUACCAACACAUGUAUUUAAUUAUCAUUCUUAUUUAUGUAUCUCUGUCCCAGUUAUUCCUGCAACACAUGCAAUAAUGCAGAUUACAACACUGAUUGACUCAUUAUAUUGUACAAGCUCUCCACAUUGAGGCCACGUGUGAUGUUUUGAAAGAAUGACUGUGCACAUUCCCUCCAGUGACCGUUGACCUGAAGGAGGAGGACCAACAGCGCUUGUGCAAAAUGACAGUUACGUAUUUCAUGUUUUACUCCGGUAUCAGCCGUGCAGACUGCAUGUCUGUGCCGCUUAUCACACGCAGCUGCGUCACAUCACGUCGUCUGAUAGAUAUCUCGGUGCCAAACAAAGCUGGGGUUUACUUUUUUGGGGGGAGGAACACCAGCUGUAGGUGGGAUUUAAACGCGCGUUGAUCCGCGGCGCGUUCACACAGCAGCAGCAGCCGCACCCCGUGGUGCUUUGACCGGGGCGGAGGGGAGAGACGGAGACGGAGAUGCAGCCGCAGACGGGAAUCAUCGGCAGCGCGGUGGCUGCAGGCUGCGGCCUCUUCGCAGCGACCAUGAACUUCUUCACCGACAUGUUUCUGACUCCACCGCUGAAGGCAACGCUCAGAAGUUUGGAGGAGGCUGAGCUGAAAACUUUGAAAGGAGGUAACUUGUUUAAGACGUUAUGUGAGGGUUUAUGAUUUCAUAAUCUGGUUUAAGGGGGGUGAAGCCAAGUGCUGAAAGGCGCGAUUGUUGCGUCGGAAUGCAUUUAUUCUGUUCAUUAUGUAUUUUAUCAUGUGCUUAUCCUAGCUACGCUUUUGCCCGAUUUGUUCCCUCAGAAACACAGAUCGUGACGGCGAGGUCU